rnacentral:rRNA from 1 species
UACGUAGGGGGCUAGCGUUGUCCGGAUUUAUUGGGCGUAAAGAGCGUGUAGGCGGCCAGGUAGGUCUGCUGUGAAAACUCGAGGCUCAACCUCGAGACGUCGGCGGAAACCAUCUGGCUAGAGUCCGGAAGAGGAGAGUGGAAUUCCUGGUGUAGCGGUGAAAUGCGCAGAUAUCAGGAAGAACACCCGUGGCGAAGGCAGCUCGCUGGGACGUUACUGACGCUGAGACGCGAAAGCGUGGGGAGCAAACAGG